UACGGGGGGGGCAAGCGUUGUUCGGAAUUACUGGGCGUAAAGGGUUUGUAGGUGGCCCGCUAAGUCACACGUGAAAUCCCUCAGCUUAACUGGGGAACUGCGUGUGAGACUGGCAGGCUCGAGGGCAGGAGAGGAACGCGGAAUUCCAGGUGUAGCGGUGAAAUGACGUAGAUAUCUGGAGGAACACCGGUGGCGAAGGCGGCGUUCUGGACUGUCUCUGACACUGAAGAACGAAGCCAGGGGAGACAA
rnacentral:rRNA from 1 species